rnacentral:rRNA from 2 species
AUGGUUAAGUUAGAAAGGGCGCACGGUGAAUGCCUUGGCACUAGGAGCCGAAGAAGGACGCGACGAACAGCGAAAUGCCUCGGGGAGCUGUAAGUAAGCUUUGAUCCGGGGAUAUCCGAAUGGGGGAACCCACCAUCCGUAAUGGGAUGGUACCCAUACCUGAAUACAUAGGGUAUGAGGAGGCAGACCUGGGGAACUGAAACAUCUAAGUACCCAGAGGAAGAGAAAGCAAAUGCGAUUUCCUGAGUAGCGGCGAGCGAAACGGAAUUAGCCCAAACCAAGAGGCUUGCCUCUUGGGGUUGUAGGACUGUAGGAC